rnacentral:rRNA from 1 species
UACGUAGGGGGCAAGCGUUGUCCGGAAUCAUUGGGCGUAAAGAGCGUGUAGGCGGCCAGAUAAGUCCGCUGUGAAAUCUCGAGGCUCAACUUCGAGCUGUCGGUGGAAACUGUCUGGCUAGAGUCCGGAAGAGGAGAAUGGAAUUCCUGGUGUAGCGGUGAAAUGCGCAGAUAUCAGGAAGAACACCCGUGGCGAAGGCGGUUCUCUGGGACGGUACUGACGCUGAGACGCAAAGCGUGGGGAGCGAACAGG